rnacentral:rRNA from 1 species
UACGUAGGUGGCGAGCGUUGUCCGGAUUUACUGGGCGUAAAGAGCGCGCAGGCGGUCGUUCAAGUCGCGUGUGAAAGCCCCCGGCUCAACUGGGGAGGGUCACGCGAUACUGAUCGACUCGAAGGCAGGAGAGGGUAGUGGAAUUCCCGGUGUAGUGGUGAAAUGCGCAGAUAUCGGGAGGAACACCAACGGCGAAAGCACUCUGCUGGGCCGACACUGACACUGAGAGACGAAAGCUAGGGGAGCAAAUGGG